CUUCGAACCAGCACCAAGAGGAUUACGCGUGAAGCGGAGAAAGCUAUGGUUGAGCACCAAAAGUUGGAACUGGCCAUCGAAGAGAAGACUCAGGAAUUUCGGAGCUUGGAGAAAAUCAACGAU
rnacentral:ribozyme from 1 species